UUUUUUUACAUCUUAAUAUUUUAUGAUGUAUUUAAAUGAGUAGUUAUUGUUGCAAACUCCAUUAGAAAUUUUAAUUGAGAUUAGUUUUGGAAUAAGGGAAAGGGGGAUGUGAUUAAAAAAAUUGGGUUCAAUUUUUCUCAUUUGAAAUUUCAUAAAUAAAAAAGAAAAUUUCUUCAAACAUUUUUUUUGAGAGGAUUAAUAUUCAACAGCAUAGUGAAUUGCUCUAAGAGAAAACAAAAAUUUUAAGUUCAUUAGAACACAUUCAUUCUGUGUCAGAAACCUAUGCUGUGUCAACUAUUUAAUCACAAUCCAAAUUUAGAGCUGAAUCCAGCUUGAAUGUUGUGUCCAUACUUGCCCCAACCGUUCAGGGUUCAACCUCUGCGGUCGUAUAAAGCUACGCCCUGCGGAGCAUCUGGUUAUAAAUUAUAUAUAAUAUAUUU
rnacentral:lncRNA from 1 species